rnacentral:misc_RNA from 1 species
GAUGAAGAACGCAGCGAAAUGCGAUACGUAAUGUGAAUUGCAGAAUUCAGUGAAUCAUCGAAUCUUUGAACGCAUAUUGCGCUCUCUGGUAUUCCGGAGAGCAUGCUUGUUUGAGUAUCAGUAAACACCUCAACUUCCAUAUCUUUUUUGAAAUGGGAGUUGGACUUGAGUGAUCCCAACGCUUUUCCUCACCGAAAAGUGGCGGGUUACUUGAAAUGCAGGUGCAGCUGGACUUUUCUCUGAGCUAUAAGCAUAUCUAUUUAGUCUGCCUAAAAAACAGAUUAUUACCUUUGCUGCAGCUAACAUAAAGGAGAUUAGUUCUUGUGCUGACUGAUGCAGGAUUCACAAAGACGGCUUCGGCCGACUUUGUAAACUCGAUCUCAAAUCAAGUAAGACUACCCGCUGAACUUAAGCAUAUCAAUAAUCGGAGGA